GUUGAGGGGAAUGUUGUCUGGCUCGAGGUCACCAAUUAGAUCCAUAAUCCCUAUAUAUACCAUGCUUUUCAAAAAAAAGAUUUAUAAUAUGAAAAGGGGUUAUGAAUCAUGUGUUAGUGUUGUCGGACCAGGCUUCAUUCCCCCCAAU
rnacentral:pre_miRNA from 1 species